GAUGAACGCUGGCGGCGUGCCUAAUACAUGCAAGUCGAGCGAACGGACGAGAAGCUUGCUCCUCUGAUGUUAGCGGCGGACGGGCGAGUAACACGUGGAUAACCUACCUAUAAUACUGGGAUAACUUCGGGAAACCGGAGCUAAUAACGGCUAAUAUUUUGAACCGCAUGGUUCAAAAGUGAAAGACGGUCUUGCUGUCACUUAUAGCUGGAUCCGCGCUGCAUUAGCUAGUUGGUAAGGUAACGGCCUACCAAGGCAACGAUGCAUAGCCGACCUGAGAGGGUGAUCGGCCACACUGGAACUGAGACACGGUACAGACUCCUACGGGAGGCAGCAGUAGGGAAUCUUGGGCAAUGGGCGAAAGCCUGACGGAGCAACGCCGCGUGAGUGAUGAAGGUCUUCGGAUCGUAAAACUCUGUUAUUAGGGAAGAACAUAUGUGUAAGUAACUGUGCACAUCUUGACGGUACCUAAUCAGAAAGCCACGGCUAACUACGUG
rnacentral:rRNA from 1 species